rnacentral:rRNA from 1 species
UACGUAGGGGGCAAGCGUUGUCCGGAAUCAUUGGGCGUAAAGCGCGUGUAGGCGGUUCGAUCAGUCUGCUGUGAAAGUCCAGGGCUCAACCCUGGGAUGCCGGUGGAUACUGUCGGACUCGAGUACGGAAGAGGCGAGUGGAAUUCCCGGUGUAGCGGUGAAAUGCGCAGAUAUCGGGAGGAACACCAAUUGCGAAGGCAGCUCGCUGGGACGUCACUGACGCUGAGACGCGAAAGCGUGGGGAGCGAACAGG